rnacentral:rRNA from 1 species
UAGGGAAUCUUCGGCAAUGGACGAAAGUCUGACCGAGCAACGCCGCGUGAGUGAAGAAGGUUUUCGGAUCGUAAAACUCUGUUGGUAGAGAAGAACGUUGGUGAGAGUGGAAAGCUCAUCAAGUGACGGUAACUACCCAGAAAGGGACGGCUAACUACGUGCCAG